rnacentral:ribozyme from 13 species
UUUGGUGCAGUACUCAAGAAUUUUUUGUUUUUCUUGGUCUUUUUUUGUUAUUUUCUUUUCUCGCUCUUCC